UGUUAAUUACCGUAACCCGAAACCUUUUCCCUAAACCUAAUUUUCCUCUCCUUCCUCUCUCCCGACGGCGUUUCUCUUCUCACGCGAGCAGCAGCGAUUCUUUUCUCGGGCGGAGAACAAUGUCACGGCUAGGGCAUAGUUUUCCAGCGGCCGGCCAAGGUUCAUCCGAGAGCUCUUCGCCUUCCCGAGAUCCUCUCACCGAGAAGAAGCUAUAGGCGCAAGGAGAGACCGGGAAACUCGAGCUAGCCGAAACCCUAGAAGUUCUCCUCCUCCGGUUGUGAGACCAAGAAGCCAAAUAAAGGAAAGGAAAAGUUAUAGCAAAGGAAGGCGACAAGGAGAUACAGGAAAGGAAAAGAU